UAAUGAAACUUUGACUACUCUAUUUUGAUUGAUUUUUAUUUUUUUUAAUUGAUUAACAAAAAAAAACAGAAAGAAUAACCUAAACCUAAAGUCCUAAACACACAAAUUGGAAAAUCUUAGUAGCUUAGUUGGUUAAUUACCUGAACGUCCAUCUUGUUGGUGAGGAUUUUAUUCCCCACGUUGUAAUCCCCUCCCUCAUUCUCCUUCCAAAAAAAAUAAAAAAUAAAACCCUAUCGUUGCCGCAAAAUUAAACCCAAAACUGAAAACGGGACCUUUAUAUUAACAAAUAUUUUAUGAUCUAUAUUCUCUGCGCUCACUUUUGCCACAAUUCAAGGAGGUUUUUGCUAUGAAACCCAUAAAAAGAACCGAGAUUGUUUCUACUACUGGGAAUUCACAUAUUCCCGAUGAAAUUUUGUUUGAUAUUCUUACAAGGGUUUUAUCAGUGAUUUAGAUACGUCUCUAAAUCGUUUUGCUCUCUCAUAUCCCAAUUCAUUAAAGCACAUCAGCAAAAAGGUUCGUCGUUGGUAGAUCAUCUACUUGUCAGUUUCCCAGGAAAGAAAGAAUGGACACAAUUUGAGUUGUGUGGAGUUUGUCAAAGAAAGUGGGGCGUUUGGCAUAAUAUUGUGGAGACUAUGUGAUCCUUGGAAUAAACUCCUCAUUUUGAUUAUAUUGGAUUUCCUUCUUGUUUAAUUUAUUAUUCAAAUUGUGCCAA